GGGCCCGUGGCCAAGUCUGGAUUAAGGCGCCGGCCUUCGGAGCCGGAGAGCAGGGGUUCAAAUCCCCUCGGGCCCGCCA
rnacentral:tRNA from 2 species